GCUAAGACUUGUUGAUCCUCAUGUGUGUAUUCAGUCAGCUGCUCUUCUGUACUUGAGGCUGGUGAAAAUACUUUAUUUUUAGGCCACCGUAUCAACAGGAGAGUAACAUGGUAUUUUAACCCACAUUAAAUGAAUGUGGCUGAGUAUGAAGUGAAACCGAAUUGAUUUUUGUACCACCUGAAACCUACUUCAAGUUCAGAUCAUUGAUCGGUCAGAAGAAACGUCAAGGAAAAAGAAAACAUAACGAGCAUCCCCAAAACGACCCAGCGGUUACACAACAACUCUGAAGA